rnacentral:rRNA from 1 species
AUUGAACGCUGGCGGCAUGCCUUACACAUGCAAGUCGAACGGCAGCACGGGAGCAAUCCUGGUGGCGAGUGGCGAACGGGGUGAGUAAUAUAUCGGAACGUGCCCAGUCUGGGGGAUAACGUAGCGAAAGCUACGCUAAUACCGCAUACGAUCUAUGGAUGAAAGCGGGGGAUCGCAAGACCUCGCGCGAUUGGAGCGGCCGAUAUCAGAUUAGGUAGUUGGUGAGGUAAAGGCUCACCAAGCGACGAUCUGUAGCUGGUCUGAGAGGACGACCAGCCACACUGGGACUGAGACA